GGGUUAAUAGCUCAGUUGGCAGAGCGCCUGAGGACUGUGGCGGCGCUGAUGGGCAGUCGGCGACCCAUCAGGCCGCUUUGUCAAAAGACGGAGGUCCUAGAUUCGAGUUCUAGUUAACCCA